rnacentral:rRNA from 1 species
GACAGAGGCCUCAAGCGUUAGGCGGAAUCACUGGGCUUAAAGCGUGUGUAGGCGGAUCGUUAAGUGUCUCGUGAAAUCCCACGGCUCACCCGUGGAACUGCUGGGCAUACUGGCGAUCUUGGGCCAACUAGGGGCAACUGGAACAAGCGGUGGAGCGGUGAAAUGCGUAGAUAUCGUCUGGAACGCCAAAGGUGAAGACAGUCUGCUGGGAACUUGCUGACGCUGAGACACGAAAGCCAGGGGAGCGAACGGG